UUGUGUGUGUGUAUUUUUUCACAUAUUUUAUGUAUGUGUUAUUAUACAAGCAAUAAUACCACUAUAUGCAAUAUCAUUUGUUAUAUAAUGAUAAACGUUUUGUUCGCCUGCGUGAAGUCUUUCCCGCCACGAGUCUUUAAAAUGUAUUAAGCCAGCGCCAUCUAUUGAAAAAAACAGGUAUAAGAAUUGUUUCCCAUUGGAGCAAAUUACCGGAAUAAAAAUAGCCUGUCUUAAUUCAGGACAUUGAACCGUGUGCCAAUUUUUACCUAUCCAAUUCCAUUCAGUCGUUUUUACGUUUAUUUCUAACAAACAAACAAAAAUGCAAACAUCGAAACAUAUUCACAAACUUUAGCAUUUUUAUAGAUAAGAUAAAAUAGUAAGAAGUAAGAUUAUAAUCGGUUUUACGUUCCUACGCAUGAUAUUCAGUGUUCUAUAACAGUUCAUUUUUUGUGAUAAGUUAAAAGCAUUGACAACAUUUUAUUUAUUUUUGUUGCAAUAAUAUGUAUGUACUUAAUUUUAAUAAAAUGAAAAUGAUUCGUCGUUUAUUAUCACAACUUAUUACAUAUUAACAUUGUAAACAAGCAAACUCAAAAGUGGAAUUGUCACCGCUCUUCAUAGCCUGCGGGCUUAACGACAUCAUCACGAUUUCAGCACCAAUGGUAGACAAAAAUGCUCUAUAUUACUUGACUAAACCCAAUGGAGAUGUAACAAAAAUCGAUAUACAACAACCGAGCUAUAUAAAGAGGAAACACAAUGAUCUUUAUAAUGAUGAAAUAGCAGUUAAACAUGUAAAAGCAGAUGCAAGGCCGAUCGUAACACCCUAAACAACUACCAAAUAUUAAACGUUAAAGAUAAAAGAUUAAAUGAAUUGGAAAUGGAAGAGAGAAUUGAAUCUAGUGAUAUAGUUAUAGGUCCUUUGACAGAAGACGAUCAUGGUAAUUGGGUGUUAAGCGUUUAUCACAAGGACUUGGAUGGGAACUGGAUUGAACUGUUUCAAGUGAUUACUAUAGAAAUUGUUGAAAACGUGCCGCCGAGUCUAAGCAACCCAA
rnacentral:misc_RNA from 1 species